AGUGAACGCUGGCGGCAGGCCUAACACAUGCAAGUCGAACGAAGUCUUCGGACUUAGUGGCGGACGGGUGAGUAACACGUGGGAACGUGCCUUUAGGUUCGGAAUAACUCAGGGAAACUUGUGCUAAUACCGAAUGUGCCCUUCGGGGGAAAGAUUUAUCGCCUUUAGAGCGGCCCGCGUCUGAUUAGCUAGUUGGUGAUGUAAAGGCUCACCAAGGCUACGAUCAGGAGCUGGUCUGAGAGGAUGACCAGCCACAUUGGGACUGAGACACGGCCCAAACUCCUACGGGAGGCAGCAGUGGGGAAUCUUGCGCAAUGGGCGAAGGCCUGACGCAGCCAUGCCGCGUGGAUGAUGAAGGUCUUAGGAUUGUAAAAUCCUUUCACCGGUGAAGAUAAUGACUGUAGCCGGAGAAGAAGCCCCGGCUAACUUCGUGCCAGCCGCCGCUGUAAGAC
rnacentral:rRNA from 1 species